GAUGAACGCUGGCGGCGUGCCUAAUACAUGCAAGUCGAGCGAACAGACGAGGAGCUUGCUCCUCUGACGUUAGCGGCGGACGGGUGAGUAACACGUGGAUAACCUACCUAUAAGACUGGGAUAACUUCGGGAAACCGGAGCUAAUACCGGAUAAUAUAUUGAACCGCAUGGUUCAAUAGUGAAAGACGGUUUUGCUGUCACUUAUAGAUGGAUCCGCGCCGCAUUAGCUAGUUGGUAAGGUAACGGCUUACCAAGGCGACGAUGCGUAGCCGACCUGAGAGGGUGAUCGGCCACACUGGAACUGAGACACGGUCCAGACUCCUACGGGAGGCAGCAGUAGGGAAUCUUCCGCAAUGGGCGAAAGCUUGACGGAGCGACGCCGCGUGAGUGAUGAAGGUCUUCGGAUCGUAAAACUCUGUUAUUAGGGAAGAACAAAUGUGUAAGUAACUAUGCACGUCUUGACGGUACCUAAUCAGAAAGCCACGGCUAACUACGUG
rnacentral:rRNA from 1 species